rnacentral:rRNA from 1 species
AGAGUUUGAUCCUGGCUCAGGAUGAACGCUAGCUACAGGCUUAACACAUGCAAGUCGAGGGGCAGCAUGAAUAUUGGCUUGCCAAUAUUUGAUGGCGACCGGCGCACGGGUGAGUAACACGUAUCCAACCUUCCGGUUACUCGGGGAUAGGCUUUCGAAAGAAAGAUUAAUACCCGAUGUUGUGUAUCUUUCUCCUGAUUGAUACGCCAAAGGAUUCCGGUAACCGAUGGGGAUGCGUUCCAUUAGGCAGUUGGCGGGGUAACGGCCCACCAAACCUUCGAUGGAUAGGGGUUCUGAGAGGAAGGUCCCCCACAUUGGAACUGAGACACGGUCCAAACUCCUACGGGAGGCAGCAGUGAGGAAUAUUGGUCAAUGGACGGAAGUCUGAACCAGCCAAGUAGCGUGAAGGAUGACUGCCCUCUGGGUUGUAAACUUCUUUUAUACGGGAAUAACAUGAGGUACGGGUACCUUAUUGCAUGUACCGUUAUGAAUAAGCAUCGGCUAACUCCGUGCCAGCAGCCGCGGUAAUACGGAGGAUGCGAGCGUUAUCCGGAUUUAUUGGGUUUAAAGGGAGCGUAGGUGGGAUAUUAAGUCAGCUGUGAAAGUUUGGGGCUCAACCUUAAAAUUGCAGUUGAUACUGGUUUUCUUGAGUACGGUAUAGGUGGGCGGAAUUCGUGGUGUAGCGGUGAAAUGCUUAGAUAUCACGAAGAACUCCUAUUGCGAAGGCAGCUCACUGGACCGGCACUGACACUGAUGCUCGAAAGUGCGGGUAUCAAACAGGAUUAGAUACCCUGGUAGUCCGCACAGUAAACGAUGAAUACUCGCUGUUUGCGAUACACAGUAAGCGGCCAAGCGAAAGCGUUAAGUAUUCCACCUGGGGAGUACGCCGGCAACGGUGAAACUCAAAGGAAUUGACGGGGGCCCGCACAAGCGGAGGAACAUGUGGUUUAAUUCGAUGAUACGCGAGGAACCUUACCCGGGCUUAAAUUGCGCUGGCUUUUACCGGAAACGGUAUUUUCUUCGGACCAGCGUGAAGGUGCUGCAUGGUUGUCGUCAGCUCGUGCCGUGAGGUGUCGGCUUAAGUGCCAUAACGAGCGCAACCCUUAUCUUUAGUUGCCAUCAGGUUUUGCUGGGGACUCUAAAGAGACUGCCGUCGUAAGAUGCGAGGAAGGUGGGGAUGACGUCAAAUCAGCACGGCCCUUACGUCCGGGGCUACACACGUGUUACAAUGGGGAGCACAGCAGGUUGCUACACGGCGACGUGAUGCCAAUCCGUAAAACUCCUCUCAGUUCGGAUCGAAGUCUGCAACCCGACUUCGUGAAGCUGGAUUCGCUAGUAAUCGCGCAUCAGCCACGGCGCGGUGAAUACGUUCCCGGGCCUUGUACACACCGCCCGUCAAGCCAUGAAAGCCGGGGGUACCUGAAGUACGUAACCGCAAGGAUCGUCCUAGGGUAAACCUGGUGAUUGGGGCUAAGUCGUAACAAGGUAGCCGUACCGGAAGGUGCGGCUGGAACACCU